UACAUGGACACAUCAGAAAAAGUGUGAGAUGGGCAAGCGCUCCUAACUGAAGCAUCAAGGACCAAUGAGUCUACAGGACCCACUGUUCUCUCAACUUCCAAUGCAGCCCUUCUUCUGCUACCUUACCCUGAGGACUUGGACAUUCCAGCGUAUCGCAGAACCGGAAUUCAGCUCCCAUUGCCCACAACAGUGCUUCCCUGCCUCAGUUUCAUAGAAAUGAUCCCUGUGUAACUCAGCAGCUCAUAUACAGUGAUAAAGUAUCAAGUCCAUCGUUUUCCCAAAUCAAGAGCAAUGCAUCCCACACAAAUGGGCAAGAAUCGCAGCUGACAGAGGAAAACUAUAGUGAAAUCUUCAGAAGAAACCAAGAAAUGUUGGGCAUGAUUGAAAUUCUGGAAUGAAGAUACAGAGAACCCAAGGGCUGAUUCUGCAUGGAUGAGAGAGCCGGUUUAUAUCCAGUAUCACGAACAGUAACUUCUUUGAUACUUGUAACAAUAUUAUAAGUAGAGAUAAAUUCUGUUAUAGAUGAGGAAACUGGGCAUUUGAGUGUUACAGCUGGUCAAUGACAGAGCCCUGGCUCUAUCCCAGAAAUGUGGGAUGCUAAACGUGUGCUCUAGAGGUCUGUAUAAUCCUGAUUGUUGAUGCGGGGACCUGGCCUCAUUCAUCUUUGUAUCCUCCAUGUCCAAUACAAACCCUGGCAUAGAGUAGAUUUUUCAGUACUUGUUUGUUGAGUGAAUGUUUCAAGAGCUCCAUUGUCUCCUAACUAAAGCAUAUAGGUGUGUUGGUUUUAUGGGAAGAAAACUGCUCAACCAGCACCAACUCUGGUUGGCAGAGUUGUGCAUCGAUGUGCAAGAGGAUGCAUGAUUGUAAGGAGACCCUCCUGGGUCAGUGGAACUGUUGCAAGAUGCUGGCAGUGGAUUUACAAGGAAUAGAGGAAGCCAUGGCAAUGGAGUCCAAUCAUUUACCUUUAAAACUGUUUAUAGACUAAAGUGUAUAUGUGGCCCAUGUUGCCAAACCUUUUGAUAAAUAUACUGGCCCGGAGUAGAGUAAGUCAUGGCUGUACCUUCCAAGUAACAGACUGUCCUCACAAGCUGUAUACCUAAUUAGACUCUGAUAAUCUGUAUAAAUUAGCAUUUGCUAGUGAUAAAUAUCACACACCAAGCCUUAAAUAAUACAUUAGACUUAAUUGAAUAAAUGCAUAUAUUAUGGCCUUAUAAUGCAUAUUUGCCAUAAUGAGUUAUCUUCCAUGCACAAACAAACAGCAAUUCUGAUUAAUCAGGUGGGGCAAUUGUGCUGUUAAAACUCCAGGUUCUGCAAGGAAGUUCUCACUGUUGGUAAGAUAAAAGCAAUAAAAAUUCUUUCCUUGACUGUGUUGGAUAAAUUUUCUCUUUAGGAAUCUCCCUAUCUUUGAACCUUCAGGAUUUUGCAGUGAUGUCAAGGUAUACACCCAUGUCUUCACUCCCAA